rnacentral:rRNA from 1 species
GGUUAAGCGACUAAGCGUACACGGUGGAUGCCCUGGCAGUCAGAGGCGAUGAAGGACGUGCUAAUCUGCGAUAAGCGCCGGUAAGGUGAUAUGAACCGUUAUAACCGGCGAUUUCCGAAUGGGGAAACCCAGUGUGAUUCGUCACACUAUCAUUAACUGAAUCCAUAGGUUAAUGAGGCGAACCGGGGGAACUGAAACAUCUAAGUACCCCGAGGAAAAGAAAUCAACCGAGAUUCCCCCAGUAGCGGCGAGCGAACGGGGAGGAGCCCAGAGCCUGAAUCAGCAUGUGUGUUAGUGGAAGCGUCUGGAAAGGCGCGCGAUACAGGGUGACAGCCCCGUACACAAAAGCGCAUGUGCUGUGAGCUCGAUGAGUAGGGCGGGACACGUGGUAUCCUGUCUGAAUAUGGGGGGACCAUCCUCCAAGGCUAAAUACUCCUGACUGACCGAUAGUGAACCAGUACCGUGAGGGAAAGGCGAAAAGAACCCCGGCGAGGGGAGUGAAAAAGAACCUGAAACCGUGUACGUACAAGCAGUGGGAGCACAGGUUUACCUGUGUGACUGCGUACCUUUUGUAUAAUGGGUCAGCGACUUAUAUUCUGUAGCAAGGUUAACCGUAUAGGGGAGCCGUAGGGAAACCGAGUCUUAACCGGGCGUUAAGUUGCAGGGUAUAGACCCGAAACCCGGUGAUCUAGCCAUGGGCAGGUUGAAGGUUGGGUAACACUAACUGGAGGACCGAACCGACUAAUGUUGAAAAAUUAGCGGAUGACCUGUGGCUGGGGGUGAAAGGCCAAUCAAACCGGGAGAUAGCUGGUUCUCCCCGAAAGCUAUUUAGGUAGCGCCUCGUGAACUCAUCUCCGGGGGUAGAGCACUGUUUCGGCUAGGGGGCCAUCCCGGCUUACCAACCCGAUGCAAACUGCGAAUACCGGAGAAUGUUAUCACGGGAGACACACGGCGGGUGCUAACGUCCGUCGUGAAGAGGGAAACAACCCAGACCGCCAGCUAAGGUCCCAAAGUCAUGGUUAAGUGGGAAACGAUGUGGGAAGGCCCAGACAGCCAGGAUGUUGGCUUAGAAGCAGCCAUCAUUUAAAGAAAGCGUAAUAGCUCACUGGUCGAGUCGGCCUGCGCGGAAGAUGUAACGGGGCUAAACCAUGCACCGAAGCUGCGGCAGCGACGCUUAUGCGUUGUUGGGUAGGGGAGCGUUCUGUAAGCCUGCGAAGGUGGCCUGUGAGGGUUGCUGGAGGUAUCAGAAGUGCGAAUGCUGACAUAAGUAACGAUAAAGCGGGUGAAAAGCCCGCUCGCCGGAAGACCAAGGGUUCCUGUCCAACGUUAAUCGGGGCAGGGUGAGUCGACCCCUAAGGCGAGGCCGAAAGGCGUAGUCGAUGGGAAACGGGUUAAUAUUCCCGUACUUGGUGUUACUGCGAAGGGGGGACGGAGAAGGCUAUGUUGGCCGGGCGACGGUUGUCCCGGUUUAAGCGUGUAGGUGUGUGUUCCAGGUAAAUCCGGUUCACUUUAACACUGAGGCGUGACGACGAGGCACUACGGUGCUGAAGCAACAAAUGCCCUGCUUCCAGGAAAAGCCUCUAAGCAUCAGGUAACAUCAAAUCGUACCCCAAACCGACACAGGUGGUCAGGUAGAGAAUACCAAGGCGCUUGAGAGAACUCGGGUGAAGGAACUAGGCAAAAUGGUGCCGUAACUUCGGGAGAAGGCACGCUGACACGUAGGUGAAGUGAUUUACUCACGGAGCUGAAGUCAGUCGAAGAUACCAGCUGGCUGCAACUGUUUAUUAAAAACACAGCACUGUGCAAACACGAAAGUGGACGUAUACGGUGUGACGCCUGCCCGGUGCCGGAAGGUUAAUUGAUGGGGUCAGCGCAAGCGAAGCUCCUGAUCGAAGCCCCGGUAAACGGCGGCCGUAACUAUAACGGUCCUAAGGUAGCGAAAUUCCUUGUCGGGUAAGUUCCGACCUGCACGAAUGGCGUAAUGAUGGCCAGGCUGUCUCCACCCGAGACUCAGUGAAAUUGAACUCGCUGUGAAGAUGCAGUGUACCCGCGGCAAGACGGAAAGACCCCGUGAACCUUUACUAUAGCUUGACACUGAACAUUGAGCCUUGAUGUGUAGGAUAGGUGGGAGGCUUUGAAGUGUGGACGCCAGUCUGCAUGGAGCCGACCUUGAAAUACCACCCUUUAAUGUUUGAUGUUCUAACGUGGACCCGUAAUCCGGGUUGCGGACAGUGUCUGGUGGGUAGUUUGACUGGGGCGGUCUCCUCCUAAAGAGUAACGGAGGAGCACGAAGGUUGGCUAAUCCUGGUCGGACAUCAGGAGGUUAGUGCAAUGGCAUAAGCCAGCUUGACUGCGAGCGUGACGGCGCGAGCAGGUGCGAAAGCAGGUCAUAGUGAUCCGGUGGUUCUGAAUGGAAGGGCCAUCGCUCAACGGAUAAAAGGUACUCCGGGGAUAACAGGCUGAUACCGCCCAAGAGUUCAUAUCGACGGCGGUGUUUGGCACCUCGAUGUCGGCUCAUCACAUCCUGGGGCUGAAGUAGGUCCCAAGGGUAUGGCUGUUCGCCAUUUAAAGUGGUACGCGAGCUGGGUUUAGAACGUCGUGAGACAGUUCGGUCCCUAUCUGCCGUGGGCGCUGGAGAACUGAGGGGGGCUGCUCCUAGUACGAGAGGACCGGAGUGGACGCAUCACUGGUGUUCGGGUUGUCAUGCCAAUGGCACUGCCCGGUAGCUAAAUGCGGAAGAGAUAAGUGCUGAAAGCAUCUAAGCACGAAACUUGCCCCGAGAUGAGUUCUCCCUGAGACUUAGAGUCUCCUGAAGGAACGUUGAAGACGACGACGUUGAUAGGCCGGGUGUGUAAGCGCAGCGAUGCGUUGAGCUAACCGGUACUAAUGAACCGUGAGGCUUAACCUU